GAUGAACGCUAGCGGGAGGCUUAACACAUGCAAGUCGAGGGGCAGCAUAGGGUAGCAAUACUCUGAUGGCGACCGGCAAACGGGUGAGUAACGCGUAUGCAACCUACCCUGUACAGGGGGAGUAACCCGGAGAAAUUCGGACUAAUAUCCCGUAAUAAUAUCCGGAGGCAUCUUUGGAUAUUUAAAGUUCCGACGGUACGGGAUGGGCAUGCGUAACAUUAGCUGGUUGGUAAGGUAACGGCUUACCAAGGCUAUGAUGUUUAGGGGUCCGUGAGAGGGUGGUCCCCCACACUGGUACUGAGACACGGACCAGACUCCUACGGGAGGCAGCAGUGAGGAAUAUUGGUCAAUGGGCGCAAGCCUGAACCAGCCAUCCCGCGUGCAGGAAGACGGCCCUAUGGGUUGUAAACUGCUUUUCCAGGGAGAGAAACUUACGCACGUGUUGCGUGACUGACGGUACCCUGGGAAUAAGCAUCGGCUAACUCCGUGCCAGCAGCCGCGGUAAACA
rnacentral:rRNA from 1 species